CCCACAUUCAGCCUCAGUGGGGUUAUUUAUCUGCAGUUGUGGGCACAUGGCCAGUCCUGGGAACAUACUGGUCCCUUGCUCAGAACACUGCCGUGGCUCCCCGGUGCCCACCAGGUCCAGCUCACACCCCUGAUCCCAGGUCUUCCCUGCUCCAGGAAACCCCAAUUCAAGGGGAGGUGAGUAUGGCCUCUGCCUAGAUUGAAUGCCAACUCUGUGUGACCUUAGGCGAGUCACUUAACCUCCCUGUGCCCCAAUUUCCUCCCUCACAGAGCUGGUGUGAGAAUUAUGUAGAUUCAUAUAAGUAAAGCAAUUAGUGCAGCACCUGCCGUGCAGGAAAGUUGUCCAUAAAUGUUAACUGUCACCGUUAUUGUUUCCUUGCAGGAGGGACCUGAGGUAUGGCCUCUGUUGGGGCUUGCAGCCAAGCUCUGGCCUUCCAGACUGAGCCAGAGGCGUCCGGGCCACCUGGGAACUUGUUGGAGGCUCAGAGCGUCAGGCCCCGCCUGGGGAUCCUAAAGCAGCAGGGAGAAGCCUUUCUGAACAGUCUUGGCAGAAGCAGAGCCGUGUCACCCUCCGUCUCCUGGCCUGGCUUUAUUUUUCUUCACGGCACUCCCUGUCACUUGCAGUUUUACGUAUCAGAUUAUUUGUUUAUUAUCUCCCUCUUCCUAGAAUGUGAGCUCUGUGACUCGGGGAGGGCCUGUCUUGUUCCUUUGCUACAAGCUCAACAAUUUUUUGUGCUAUGAGUGAAUGAAUGAAAGGAGUCAGGUGGUAAAGGGAGAUGUUUACCCUCACAGGGGAAAGUUGGGUACGAAGACAAACUCGUUAUGGGCAAGCUAAAUAGAUCAUUCUAGGUGGAGCUGGGGAAUGACAAGUAAUUAGCAAAGGGAAGGGACCGUGCACAGCCACGCGGUCUAGCACAUAGACUGUAAAGUGAACGGUGGCCCCGCCAGUUGUACAGUUCUCAACCUGUACAACCAUUCAUGGUGCCCCUGGGGAGGGGGAGAAUCCAACAAUUUAGACCCUCUCAGCAGGGCUGGGUGGAGGCAGCUGUACAGGUGCCUGCCGCUGGG
rnacentral:lncRNA from 1 species